rnacentral:tRNA from 1 species
GGUCAGGUAGCUCAGUUGGUAGAGCAACGGACUGAAAAUCCGUGUGUCGGCGGUUCAACUCCGCCCCUGACCA